CCUACGGGGAGCUGCAGUGAGGAAUAUUGGUCAAUGGACGAGAGUCUGAACCAGCCAAGUAGCGUGAAGGAUGACUGCCCUAUGGGUUGUAACCUUCUUUUAUAUGGGAAUAAAAUGUUCCACGUGUGGGAUUUUGUAUGUACCAUAUGAAUAAGGAUCGGCUCACUCCGUGCCAGCAGCCGCGGUACUACGGAGGAUCCGAGCGUUAUCCGGAUUUAUUGGGUUUAAAGGGAGCGUAGGUGGAUUGUUAAGUCAGUUGUGAAAGUUUGCGGCUCAACCGUAAAAUUGCAGUUGAAACUGGCAGUCUGGAGUACAGUAGAGGUGGGCGGAAUUCGGGGUGUAGCGGUGAAAUGCUUAGAUAUCACGAAGAACUCCGAUUGCGAAGGCAGCUCACUGGACUGCAACUGACACUGAGGCUCGAAAGUGUGGGUAUCAAACAGGAUUAGAUACCCGAGUAGUC
rnacentral:rRNA from 1 species